CCGGCACGGGUGGAGUAACACGUAUCCAACCUGCCGUCUACUCUUGGCCAGCCUUCUGAAAGGAAGAUUAAUCCAGGAUGGCAUCAUGAGUUCACAUGUCCGCAUGAUUAAAGGUAUUUCCGGUAGACGAUGGGGAUGCGUUCCAUUAGAUAGUAGGCGGGGUAACGGCCCACCUAGUCAACGAUGGAUAGGGGUUCUGAGAGGAGGGUCCCCCACAUUGGAACUGAGACACGGUCCAA
rnacentral:rRNA from 1 species